rnacentral:hammerhead_ribozyme from 1 species
AUCCAGCUGACGAGUCCCCAAUGGGACGAAACGUGAUUUCUGGAU